GACAGAGGGUGCAAACGUUGCUCGGAAUUACUGGGCGUAAAGGGCGUGUAGGCGGGUAGGCAAGUCGGGCGUGAAAUCCCCAGGCUCAACCUGGGAACUGCACUCGAAACUGCCUUUCUUGAGUACCGGAGAGGAAAGCGGAAUACCUGGUGUAGAGGUGAAAUUCGUAGAUAUCAGGUGGAACACCAGUGGCGAAGGCGGCUUUCUGGACGGUAACUGACGCUGAGACGCGAAAGCGUGGGGAGCAAACAGG
rnacentral:rRNA from 1 species